UCCUACGGGAGGCAGCAGUAGGGAAUCUUCCGCAAUGGACGAAAGUCUGACGGAGCAACGCCGCGUGAGUGAUGAAGGUUUUCGGAUCGUAAAGCUCUGUUGCCAGGGAAGAACGCUUGGGAGAGUAACUGCUCUCAAGGCGACGGUACCUAAUCAGAAAGCCACGGCUAACUACGUGCCAGCAGCCGCGGUAAUACGUAGGUGGCAAGCGUUAUCCGGAAUUAUUGGGCGUAAAGCGCGCGUAGGCGGUUUCUUAAGUCUGAUGUGAAAGCCCACGGCUCAACCGUGGAGGGUCAUUGGAAACUGGGAAACUUGAGUGCAGAAGUGGAAAGUGGAAUUCCAUGUGUAGCGGUGAAAUGCGCAGAGAUAUGGAGGAACACCAGUGGCGAAGGCGACUUUCUGGUCUGUAACUGACGCUGAUGUGCGAAAGCGUGGGGAUCAAACAGGAUUAGAUACCCUGGUAGUCCACGCCCUAAACGAUGUCAACUAGUUGUUGGGUCUUCAUUGACUUAGUAACGUAGCUAACGCGUGAAGUUGACCGCCUGGGGAGUACGGUCGCAAGAUUAAAACUCAAAUGAAUUGACGGA
rnacentral:rRNA from 1 species